AUUUCGUGAAUUAAAAAAAAAAAAAUCAAAACAAUCGAAAAUGGUAGCAAUCUCAUCUCCCUCCUGCUCUCCUCGAUGCCCUAAUUCUUAUCCUUUCGCCUCGCUCUCUGCUCUCUCCCCCAUCCAAUCCUUAAUUCCCUUCUCCUCCUCAACGAGAAACUGGGCCCACAAAACCCACCCCCUUCUCCGCUCCUCUCCUUGCUCCGCCUCCAAACAACAACACCAACAGGAGAAGCCCUCACCAUCAUCAAGAAGGAAGAAACCCUCACCCUCCAAGAAAAAGAGACCUCCACCCCCGAAGCCUACCAUUUCAAGAAACAACGAAGACGGCGAUGACGAUGACGGUGAGGGAAGUCAAUCAAGCUACCCCUCUCCACUUCCGAAACCCCCGGCUGGAUUCGUCCUGGACCCACACGGCCGGGUCCUCAUGGCCUCCUCCAAGCGAAUUGCUACCAUUGUUGAUGCUGCGAACAAUCUGCCGCUUGAGUGUGUAAUUAGGAGGGUUUUUGACAGCUCGGGAGGUCAGGAGUGCAUGCUUCUUUGCCCUGUCGAUACGCCUGUGCAGAUUUUGAAGAGCUCAAACUUUAAUGGAUGGUCAGCUGUAAAUGAUGAAGAAAUUGAAGCCAUCAUUUCUGCCGCUGCAUACGCACUUGCCAAGAUACAUAUGCAUCUUGUAAUUAGUGGGUUUUGUUACACUGCAAGAGGAAGCUUUUGUUAUUCUGAAGAAGACAUCCUGGAAUUCCGCACAGAUGAUGGUGAAGCAAUUGAUGGCUUGCCUACUGAAGGUGUCGAAAUAACUUGCUUUAAUCUGGAUGGGGCACAUUAUAUGAUUUAUACGCCAUCUGAUCCGCUACUUUUCGUUGCUGUUAAGGACAAAGAUGGCCUAUUGCAGAUAGCAGAUGAUGAUCUCUUGGAGGACCCUGCUAUUGUUGGUGCAAUAGACGAGGAAACUGAAUUCAAUGCUUUGGUGGAGGAGGAAUCGGCUCUUCUCGAAUCGUUGUUGGGUGAGAGAUGACGGCGACAAAGUCUGAAGCUAUCCCUUGUUUCAGCAGAAUCUUUUAAAGAUGUUUGCUCAAGAAACACCAAGAUGUGGGAUCUAAUGAAGACUGCAUUGGAUCUUUCCCAUAUUUGUAGAAAUCUCAGGGAGAACAAAAUGCACACAAGGGGUGACUGGAAAGGAUGGAUUCCUCUACACAACAGAACGUGGGUCCUCUUCAGACAAGCGUGUAAGCUACUAUGCAGACUUGAACUGGCAAUCAAAAUGAUUGAUUUGAUGCUUCUACAUGUCGCGACUAGAUGUAUUUUGUUAUUAAUGAUAUGAUGAUGAUGAUGACACCCAAAUAAACCUUGCGAAGUCACACAUUCUUAAAUAGAAUGCUCUUGUUUCUCAUCAUAAACUGUUUCCAGUUGGAACCAGAUUACUGAAUUUUGUUUUCAGAUGCAGUGUUGCUUAUUAUUCAUAGCAUGCUAGUUUAUGGG